AAGAAGUAGAAAGGGGAAAAAUGGAUCUUCAUCAGAACAUAGGAAGAAGAUGAGAAGAAGAAUAAGCAGAUGAAGAGAAGAGAAUGGAUUUUCAGCCUAAUCGGUGUUGUCCCCGCCGAUUAGUGCUGCUCUUGUAAGUCCCUCUUCUCCCUCUGAUUCUAAGCAGUUCCUUUCACGUACAUAAUCUGGAAAUUUCCUCCACCAUCUUCAUGCGGUUUUCCUUGUGUGUGGAAACUCCCAUGGUAUUAUCAGAAAGUAUGACUUGAUGUGGUGCAGACAAUGCUUCCGCAGCAACACUAAGGAGAUUGGAUUAAUUAAGUGAACGAAAAGGCCGGUGCCUCCUUGCUAGCGGAUUUUGUUGAGCAAGCUGCCAUUAGAGAUAAAUGGAUCCCAAGUUGUUAUUUUCUUUGUAUUUUGAACAAUUUUGGCUGUUCUAAUUUACCAUUGAACUUGAAUUGGUUGAUGGUGCUAAAAUUUCUUGUAGAUUUGAACAAGAUACUUAAAUGAGCUUACAUUUCUUCAAAUUGUGAAUGGUUUAUGGAUGCAUCAAAGGGAAUACCCACAACAAUUGAUCAGCAUCAAAGGGAAUACCCACAACAAUACAUCAAGAUAUUACCUGAAAUACACUAAUAAGCAAACACUAUUUGGUUGGAAGAUAGAAAAAUCAAUUCCAAGUGCAGUACAUAAGUCCCGAUUGGCCUUUAUGUGAGCUACUCUAUUUCAUUCUGCUAUGACUACUUUGAUAUCUGCAAGCGCAUAAUGAAGCACUCCAUCAUCAGGAAUGAUGAUAUUGGAUUGGUAAAUCUGACUAAACUCAAGCUUUUCUUUUCUUUCAUGGUGACUUCUCAGAUUAAGAAACUCAAUUGCAGAACUAUGUUAACAAAAUGGCACUUCUCACAUGUGCAGAAACAUCUCAUCAGAGGUUGUUUUCAUUAGCUCAACCUAAGCUUUUGCCUUUCUUGGAUUUCUUCUGGAGUUGGAAGCAAAAAUGGCCACCUGUGAAGAACAACUGGUGAGACAAAACGUGGUUAAAGUUUUGCCCAACACAAGGAUUCUCAAAUAUUAGAUUCUAAGCACCUGCUUGAAAUAGUGUCUUAUCGUAUUUUGGCAGCAAGUCUUGAUCAAAGCAUGUAAGCAGUGAAGCAAAUCAGAUGGUAGAUUGUUUAGCUAAUGUAUAGGAUGCUAACAACAAGAUAUCUUUUAUUAUGAUGUUAUGUCCCACCAUCUUUUAGUUGCAAGAUGACUGUUUGGGGAUUUUAUUUUCAUUUUGUAUGAUUGUAUAUUAUUUUAAAGUUCCUUUUAUGAAAAAAAACUUCUAAAACUAUGAAAAGC